rnacentral:rRNA from 1 species
AUACGGAGGGUGCAAGCGUUAUUCGGAAUCACUGGGCGUAAAGGACGCGUAGGCGGGUUGGCAAGUCAGAUGUGAAAUCCUACAGCUUAACUGUAGAACUGCAUUUGAAACUGCUAACCUAGAGUAUGGGAGGGGGAGAUGGAAUUAGUGGUGUAGGGGUAAAAUCCGUAGACAUCACUAGGAAUACCGAAAGCGAAGGCGAUCUCCUGGAACAUAACUGACGCUAAGGCGUGAAAGCGUGGGGAGCAAACAGGAUUAGAAACCCUUGUAGUCC